rnacentral:rRNA from 1 species
UCCGUAGGCGGGCUAAUAAGUCAGAGGUGAAAUCCCACAGCUUAACUGUGGCACUGCCUUUGAUACUGUUAGUCUUGAGUCAUAAUGAGGUAGAUGGAAUGUGUAGUGUAGCGGUGAAAUGCAUAGAUAUUACACAGAACACCGAUUGCGAAGGCAGUCUACUAAUUAUGUACUGACGCUGAGGGACGAAAGCGUGGGGAGCGAACAGGAUUAGAUACCCUGGUAGUCC